CAUACGAUCACUGAAGAUAAGCAAUGUUGAGCCUAGUUAGUCCCUAGAUGGGAGACCACUUGGGAAUACCAGGUGUUGCAAG